CGCGUAGGUGGUUUGUUAAGUUGGAUGUGAAAGCCCCGGGCUCAACCUGGGAACUGCAUCCAAAACUGGCAAGCUAGAGUACGGUAGAGGGUGGUGGAAUUUCCUGUGUAGCGGUGAAAUGCGUAGAUAUAGGAAGGAACACCAGUGGCGAAGGCGACCACCUGGGCUAAUACUGACACUGAGGUGCGAAAGCGUGGGGAGCAAACAA
rnacentral:rRNA from 1 species